AACGCUGGCGGCGGCCUACACAUGCAAGUCGAGCGGAAACGAAGAGGUGCUUGCACCUCUGGCGUCGAGCGGCGGACGGGUGAGUAAUGCUUGGGAAUAUGCCUUAUGGUGGGGGACAACAGUUGGAAACGACUGCUAAUACCGCAUAAUGUCUACGGACCAAAGUGGGGGACCUUCGGGCCUCACGCCAUAAGAUUAGCCCAAGUGGGAUUAGCUAGUUGGUGAGGUAAUGGCUCACCAAGGCGACGAUCCCUAGCUGGUUUGAGAGGAUGAUCAGCCACACUGGGACUGAGACACGGCCCAGACUCCUACGGGAGGCAGCAGUGGGGAAUAUUGCACAAUGGGCGCAAGCCUGAUGCAGCCAUGCCGCGUGUGUGAAGAAGGCCCUCGGGUUGUAAAGCACUUUCAGUAAGGAGGAAAGGUUAAGUGUUAAUAGCGCUUAGCUGUGACGUUACUUACAGAAGAAGCACCGGCUAACUCCGAGCCAGCAGCCGCGGUAAUACGGAGGGUGCGAGCGUUAAUCGGAAUUACUGGGCGUAAAGCGUACGCAGGCGGUUUGUUAGGCGAGAUGUGAAAGCCCCGGGCUCAACCUGGGAACUGCAUUUCGAACUGGCAAACU
rnacentral:rRNA from 1 species